rnacentral:lncRNA from 1 species
AGAGAGAUGGCUCUGGUAGCGGUUUGCUGAGCGUUUUGGCAUCUUGUUAUGGUUGCAGUCAUUGUCCUUGGCGGGAAUGACAAAUGCAAAAGCUACAGAAAAGCAUCUUGGGAAGAUGUAAAAGAGGAAGAAUAAGAAAACAGAACUAAAACUCGGAGAUCAAGAUGUAAAAUGCAGCCCGAGAUGUCACCUGGAUUUAUGACCUUCUCUGGAGUAUUGCACAUCUGAGGCACCAUUGAAAUGUCCAUUUUGUUGUGGGAUUUUUUUCUUUUGGUCUGGAAAGCAAACCACCCAUUUGUGCCAAGUCACACACCAUAGCCAAGAAUCAAGAGUUGGGGAAUUCAACAGCAUGCACAACAGAGCAGCAAGCAUCAUUGUGAAGCCAGUGCUGCCAAGGAAAGUACUCCCUGAAUCCUUCCACACUGAAUUGGUCCAUAAGGCAAAGAUGACAGCAGAGUCGAAGGAAGGGCCAUAA